rnacentral:rRNA from 1 species
GGAAAGGCGCGCGAUACAGGGUGACAGCCCCGUACACAAAAAUGCACAUGCUGUGAGCUCGAUGAGUAGGGCGGGACACGUGGUAUCCUGUCUGAAUAUGGGGGGACCAUCCUCCAAGGCUAAAUACUCCUGACUGACCGAUAGUGAACCAGUACCGUGAGGGAAAGGCGAAAAGAACCCCGGCGAGGGGAGUGAAAAAGAACCUGAAACCGUGUACGUACAAGCAGUGGGAGCACGCUUAGGCGUGUGACUGCGUACCUUUUGUAUAAUGGGUCAGCGACUUAUAUUCUGUAGCAAGGUUAACCGAAUAGGGGAGCCGAAGGGAAACCGAGUCUUAACUGGGCGUUAAGUUGCAGGGUAUAGACCCGAAACCCGGUGAUCUAGCCAUGGGCAGGUUGAAGGUUGGGUAACACUAACUGGAGGACCGAACCGACUAAUGUUGAAAAAUUAGCGGAUGACUUGUGGCUGGGGGUGAAAGGCCAAUCAAACCGGGAGAUAGCUGGUUCUCCCCGAAAGCUAUUUAGGUAGCGCCUCGUGAAUUCAUCUCCGGGGGUAGAGCACUGUUUCGGCAAGGGGGUCAUCCCGACUUACCAACCCGAUGCAAACUGCGAAUACCGGAGAAUGUUAUCACGGGAGACACACGGCGGGUGCUAACGUCCGUCGUGAAGAGGGAAACAACCCAGACCGCCAGCUAAGGUCCCAAAGUCAUGGUUAAGUGGGAAACGAUGUGGGAAGGCCCAGACAGCCAGGAUGUUGGCUUAGAAGCAGCCAUCAUUUAAAGAAAGCGUAAUAGCUCACUGGUCGAGUCGGCCUGCGCGGAAGAUGUAACGGGGCUAAACCAUGCACCGAAGCUGCGGCAGCGACACUAUGUGUUGUUGGGUAGGGGAGCGUUCUGUAAGCCUGUGAAGGUGUACUGUGAGGUAUGCUGGAGGUAUCAGAAGUGCGAAUGCUGACAUAAGUAACGAUAAAGCGGGUGAAAAGCCCGCUCGCCGGAAGACCAAGGGUUCCUGUCCAACGUUAAUCGGGGCAGGGUGAGUCGACCCCUAAGGCGAGGCCGAAAGGCGUAGUCGAUGGGAAACAGGUUAAUAUUCCUGUACUUGGUGUUACUGCGAAGGGGGGACGGAGAAGGCUAUGUUGGCCGGGCGACGGUUGUCCCGGUUUAAGCGUGUAGGCUGGUUUUCCAGGCAAAUCCGGAAAAUCAAGGCUGAGGCGUGAUGACGAGGCACUACGGUGCUGAAGCAACAAAUGCCCUGCUUCCAGGAAAAGCCUCUAAGCAUCAGGUAACAUCAAAUCGUACCCCAAACCGACACAGGUGGUCAGGUAGAGAAUACCAAGGCGCUUGAGAGAACUCGGGUGAAGGAACUAGGCAAAAUGGUGCCGUAACUUCGGGAGAAGGCACGCUGAUAUGUAGGUGAAGUCCCUCGCGGAUGGAGCUGAAAUCAGUCGAAGAUACCAGCUGGCUGCAACUGUUUAUUAAAAACACAGCACUGUGCAAACACGAAAGUGGACGUAUACGGUGUGACGCCUGCCCGGUGCCGGAAGGUUAAUUGAUGGGGUCAGCGCAAGCGAAGCUCUUGAUCGAAGCCCCGGUAAACGGCGGCCGUAACUAUAACGGUCCUAAGGUAGCGAAAUUCCUUGUCGGGUAAGUUCCGACCUGCACGAAUGGCGUAAUGAUGGCCAGGCUGUCUCCACCCGAGACUCAGUGAAAUUGAACUCGCUGUGAAGAUGCAGUGUACCCGCGGCAAGACGGAAAGACCCCGUGAACCUUUACUAUAGCUUGACACUGAACAUUGAGCCUUGAUGUGUAGGAUAGGUGGGAGGCUUUGAAGUGUGGACGCCAGUCUGCAUGGAGCCGACCUUGAAAUACCACCCUUUAAUGUUUGAUGUUCUAACGUUGACCCGUGAUCCGGGUUGCGGACAGUGUCUGGUGGGUAGUUUGACUGGGGCGGUCUCCUCCUAAAGAGUAACGGAGGAGCACGAAGGUUGGCUAAUCCUGGUCGGACAUCAGGAGGUUAGUGCAAUGGCAUAAGCCAGCUUGACUGCGAGCGUGACGGCGCGAGCAGGUGCGAAAGCAGGUCAUAGUGAUCCGGUGGUUCUGAAUGGAAGGGCCAUCGCUCAACGGAUAAAAGGUACUCCGGGGAUAACAGGCUGAUACCGCCCAAGAGUUCAUAUCGACGGCGGUGUUUGGCACCUCGAUGUCGGCUCAUCACAUCCUGGGGCUGAAGUAGGUCCCAAGGGUAUGGCUGUUCGCCAUUUAAAGUGGUACGCGAGCUGGGUUUAGAACGUCGUGAGACAGUUCGGUCCCUAUCUGCCGUGGGCGCUGGAGAACUGAGGGGGGCUGCUCCUAGUACGAGAGGACCGGAGUGGACGCAUCACUGGUGUUCGGGUUGUCAUGCCAAUGGCACUGCCCGGUAGCUAAAUGCGGAAGAGAUAAGUGCUGAAAGCAUCUAAGCACGAAACUUGCCCCGAGAUGAGUUCUC